rnacentral:misc_RNA from 1 species
CGCUCAGGCCACAACCCAAGUCGUGAGGAAAUACUGCCUGCCGUCAGGAAACGGCGGUACCGAUAUGAUCGAUCGGCAUGGCCACGACAUCUCGGACCCGCUCCCGCAAUCGCUCCGAAAUCGACAACGCGAGCAAGUGGAACCUGGCUGACAUCUAUCCGGACUGGCAAGCCUGGCAAGCUGACCUGGCCAAACUCGAAGGGCAGAUCGAUCGAUACGCCGCGCUCAAGGGAACGCUCGCGACCGGUGCUGCAACGCUGCGCACUGCCUUCGAACUCAACGACGAGCUGGGUCAACUCGCAUACCGUGUCUACUUCUAUCCAUCGCUGCGGUACGACGAAGACCAGCGUGACAACGCCGUGGACGCGCAUCGCCAGCAAGUGCAGUCGGUCAUGGCACGCUGGCAGCAGGCUACGUCCUGGUUCAGCCCGGAACUGCUCACCAUCGGGAUUGAAACCGUGCGCGAGUGGAUGCGCCUCGACGCCGCUCUGGGCCUCUACCGAUUCGCCAUCGAGGAGGUUUAUCGGCAGCAGGAACACGUGCUCAAUGAGCAAGGGGAACAUCUGCUUUCCCUGUCGUCCCGGCUGUCGGGCUCCCCGGGCGAGGUCUAUCUGUCCCUGUCGACAGCCGAUG